UACGUAGGGACCGAGCGUUGUCCGGAUUCAUUGGGCGUAAAGAGCGUGUAGGCGGCCAUGUAGGUCCGGUGUGAAAACUCGAGGCUCAACCUCGAGACGCCGAUGGAAACCAUGUGGCUAGAGUCCGGAAGAGGAGAGUGGAAUUCCUGGUGUAGCGGUGAAAUGCGCAGAUAUCAGGAAGAACACCCGUGGCUAAGGCGGCUCUCUAGUACGGUACUGACGCUGAGACGCGAAAGCGUGGGGAGCGAACAGG
rnacentral:rRNA from 1 species